rnacentral:lncRNA from 1 species
CACUUUCAACUCUCCUCUCACCCUCCCUUUACUCGGGGGGCUCCCGAGUGGCGCAGCGUUCUAAGGCACUGCAUCUCAGUGCUAAAGUCGUCACUACAGACCCUGGUUUACUUCCAGGCUGUAUCUCAGCUGAGUCGUUAGGGUUUGGCUGGGGUGAGCACCUAGAGAAGAUCAUCACCCAUGGUGCUGAAGUUCUGCAGUGUGGAGGAUGAUGAACUCAGGGACUACUGCUUCCAGGCCUUUGAAGCUUUUCACCGCAGAUGCCCUAAGGAGAUGUCCCCUCUGUGAUCAAGGUACAUCACCUAUGACCUUCACUAGAACUACGAUGUGGAUGAGAAUGGGGAUGAGUCCAUGGAUUCACAGGCCGGAGAGUUUAAGGACCAAGAGUCAGAUGACGAGUACAGUGACGAUAUGAGCUGGAAGGAGCGGAGGUCAUCUGUGUGUCGAGGCAUCAGGAGAGACCUGCUAGUGGAGCUGUAUGGUUCAGCGGCCCGAUUUCUGUUAUAGCCAAAUGGACAAUAAAAUAUAAAUGAUCUUCUAUUCUAGACAAACUACCUGCUUCUACAUUGACGUCAAGCCCUACGUGAAGGACUUGUUCGCUGGCACCCUGAAGAGGCUGCAGACAAA